CCUUGUAUUUUUAUUUACUUUUUUUACCUCCCUAAACUGGAAGAUUACCCCUAUAUCCAUCAAUGCGAAGCUAACAUCUUUCAGUAUUUCAUUGAUACACUGGAUAAAACCGGGGAAUUUGGAUGCUGACAUCCCUUUCAGAGGAAAUUAUAUCCCCAGCUGUCUGUGAUAAGCAGCUGAAUACAGAUGAUACACAACAAGAAAGUAAAAUGAAAAUAAUUGUAAAUGUUGACAGUAAAUAUAUACCAAAUACUGAAUAUGUGAAAAUGAACUCUGGCAGUAACCUGAAGUACAAUUCUUCAAACUUUGAUUAUAAAGAGGAAUUAUUAAUUCUAAAUGUUAACCAUUUAUCAGAGAGAAAGAAUGUAUUUCCUCUUCACACUAGUCAGUUUGUCUCUAAACCAAAGAAGGUUGAUCAAAAGACUGACCAAAGGAAAAGUCUUAAUCACAGACCUGCUACAACAGCAGCAUGUUUUAGGAAUUUCUCAGAAGUAAAUACUCCAGAAGGAAAUUCUGAAAAGGCCAUUCUACAUCAAUAUCUGUUAAUGAUAGCAAAUGGAACAACCAACAUUCAAACAAACGGUAACAGUAUUCUACCACAACAACAACAGAGAAUCUCUUCAAUGAAGAAGUGUCACCAAGGAAUAUUUUGUGGUUAUGAAAUCCCUUCUGAUUCCAAGAUUGGUGUGAAAACAUGUGUAGAAGGAAAAUAUGUUAAUCUACAGUCUGGUCAUUUUUGGUUGGCUAAUGGACGGAAUGUUUUUGAAGAGCAAAGACUCCUUGAGCAGACGUUAAAGAACAGCUAUAUCCCAGGAUGGAAACAGGAAAUGGAUUACUGCAGACCAAAAACAGAUUCUAAGAAACAGUCACACAGGUUGAAUAACUCUACUCUGAGGCGGCCCUCGACAACCAUCCAUCUCUGAGCUUUUAGAUUUUGCAUGAAUUAUCCACUUAAAAGUGGACACCAAGUGAAAGAUAUUAAAAACAAAACAGUGAAAUACUAGACUUCAUUUAGAAGACAUCCUAAGCAACCGACCGACCAAUAUUUAUAUCUGCAAUUAUUCUUACACAGAGCUGACAUUUCUCAUUUCAUAACCAAAUCAAUUCUGGCACGAAACAAAAAAAAAAUUAAUGUGUUUACCUGAUAUGGGUCUU
rnacentral:misc_RNA from 1 species